GAGCUCAAAUUUGAAAUCUGGCGUGCUCAGUGCGUCCGAGUUGUAAUCUAUAGAGUCGUUUUCCGUGCCGGACCGUGUCCAAGUUCCUUGGAACAGGAUAUCAAAGAGGGUGACAAUCCCGUACUUGACACGACCACCGGUGCUCUGUGAUACGUCUUCUACGAGUCGAGUUGUUUGGGAAUGCAGCUCAAAAUGGGUGGUGAGUUCCAUCUAAAGCUAAAUAUUGGCGAGAGACCGAUAGCGAACAAGUACCGUGAGGGAAAGAUGAAAAGCACUUUGGAAAGAGAGUUAAACAGUACGUGAAAUUGUUGAAAGGGAAACGAUUGAAGUCAGUCGUGUCCGAGAGGCUCAGCCGGUUCUGCCGGUGUAUUCCUCUCGGAUGGGUCAACAUCAGUUUUGUCCGGUGGAUAAGGGCGGCAGGAAUGUAUCACCCCAGGGUGUGUUAUAGCCUGCCGUCGCAUACAUCGGGUGAGACUGAGGAAUGCAGCUCGCCUUUAUUGGCCGGGGUUCGCCCACGUCCGAGCUUAGGAUGUUGACGUAAUGGCUUUAAACGACCCGUCUUGAAA
rnacentral:rRNA from 1 species